GGAGAAGAAACAAGUGCCCCCAACCUCCACAGCUGCCACGCUGAGCCUCCUGGAGAAAGGGUCAGCUUUAUUAUGCCUCACUAAAGCCUCAGGCUCUGCAAGAGCUGCAAAGGCGGAUCUUCUCAAGCCAUCUUCGGUGUAGUUCACCGCCAUCUUGUGGCCUUUUGUGGAUACUUCUCAGCUGGGUAUUAAAGUCAUGCCCCCCACCCCGGGUUGAAAGGAUUAGAAAGGUCUCUUAGUUUGGGCUCAUGCUGGUUUCCUGUCCCAAAUAGCAGUAACCCAAGCCAAGCCUGCACCCUCGAGGCUCUGAGCGUUGGAGUGAGUACUGUGUGCAUCGUACCUGUCUACACAAACGGAUCUUACACUUCAAGUAUGGCAGAGACAUCUCCUGGAAUACAUGUAUCACGGGCCUCUACUGCUCAGGUCCACCCCCACCACCGCUUCUACCACGCCUCCUUCACACUGGUAAUUCCCAGGGAAAUCACAAAGGACAUGAACGUGGAAAUAAGCACACAUAUGCUUCCAAUAUGCCAUUCAUCCAUGCUACAUUUGGAGAAUGUUUAGCAACAACCACAAGAUCGGAACCUUGAACUUGAGAACAUGUCUGGGAAUGUUGUGAGUCAAGAUUCCCUAAGCCACACGUCACAGCUUCCAUAAGCUGACCUUCAGAGCAGAUCUAGAAGGUCUGUAGGUCAAAGAGAGGGGUCAGAGAUGCUAAUCUGAGUAUUUCUCACUCUUAUGCAAAGGAAAUGGUAAGACCUGGGGUGGGGGAGGGGCAAACCUCUACCAUGGAGCCCGAGCUCUCUCUCACCACUGCAGCUCUUAGAGAAAAUACUAAAACCUACAAAACAUGAUGAAGACAUUCAAGGAAGGAAGUUUACAGCUCUAAAUUCCUACAUGAGAGAGAGAAAGAGAGAGAGAGAGAGAGAGAGAGAGAGAGAGAGAGAGCGCUCAAACAACCUAAUGAUGUUCAUUAAGACACCAGACAAACAAGAACUAACCACACCCAAAAGCAGUAGAUGGGAGAAAGAACUAAGACCAGAGCAGAAACUAAGGAAAUUGAGACGAGCAAACAAAUAAGCAAAAUACAAAGAAAAUCGCAUAGACCUCAAUAAGUAGGAAAACGCGGGUACAAUGAGUUAAAAAUUUCUCAGUUUAUAUUUGCUUAGUGGUUCCUUCAGGAUGGCAGUGGAUAGAUGCUUCCCUUUUUCAUUUUUAAUUGAAAUUCCUGAAGAGAUUGCAUGUACAUUCAUUUUCUUUGUACGGCCUAGAAUAUUCAUCCUAUACGUGAAUAAGGAUGUCACAGAGAAGAGAGCUGGUAAUACAACUGGUGCACAACAAGGCCAAUUACUACCAAAUAAGUCAAGUCUGUUUCUGAAGAAAAUCUUAGCUGUGAUGGGGGAUGAGUAUCAGAGCCAGGGCUGAGAAUGAGGACAGGAACCCUGGGUGGGCUAUACCCGUGUGAGCGGAGCAGCCCUCAUGCAGAGUUAGUAGGGAUCCAUCACUCCCUUUAUAUUAACUUUUUUUCCCAAUGUAUUUCAAGUACAUUUUAUGUUCCUAGACCUUCCAGGAGGUUGUACAGGACAUGGUGUGUUGUUUUGCAAUCUGGAUGCUGGAGAGAAGCAGAGUCAAUCUGGAAAUAAAAGAUAUUUAAUUGAAUUGGCUUUUGUUUUGACAGAUGUUUUAUACAGUACUUUGUCUGUUAAGAACAAGAUGUUCCAAUAAAUACUGGAUAAGUGGGAGAGAAAAUUUACUACGGGGCCGUAAAUCAAUUGGCAAGAGGUCGUAAACUGCAAGAUUGGUGCUCAAAGCAUUUAUUAGAUUAUCAAGCUCUAAGAUUGAUCUGUAGUUUUAUCUACCUUCCCUCAUCCGUCAUUUUUAUAGGAUGGGAAAAGGAGUUAUAAAGGAUAAAUUGCUUUAAAAAUUAAAAUAUGGGUUUUAGACAAAGCAGUCUAGCAGGAUAUGGAGCAGAGACUUUUGAAAGUGACGAACCCAGAGAGAUAUCCAAAAUAGAAAUAUACUUGAUAUUUUGCAGUAGGUAAUUGCCAGUGUAAUAGGAAAUUAAACACUAAGAGAGAGGAAUGGCAGAAGUCUUAAAAUCCAGAAGGUCCUGGAAGUUAUUGUAUCAGAGCCUAUCAUCUUACAGACGAGGGACGAGUCCGAAGGCUUAAGGGCUUCUAUGAGACAGCCAGUCAAUAGGACCAAUGACCAUCUUUGUACUAAAGAGGGUACAAAACAGUUAGUGGGUUUUUUUUUCUUUUUGGAGAGGAGACAAUUUUAACAGAUAGAAAGAAAGAAAGAAAGAAAGAAAGAAAGAAAGAAAGGAAAAAAGAAAGAAAAGGAAAACAGACAACUUGAUAUGUAUACACACAGAGAUACAUAUAAAUUUUAACUUAAGACACAUGCCAUGGGUUGGGCAGAUUGCUUCAGAAGCAUGAGGACCUGAGUUCAAUCCCCAGCACCUACAUUAAAAGGCCAGUACAAGAUGUACCCUGGUACUGGGGGAGGUAGAAACAGGAGUGUCUCAGCUUUUCUGUCCAGCCAGCCUAGUCAAGUCUGUGAGCCAUGGGUUCAGUGAAAAGCCUUACCUCAAAAAAAGAUAAAAAAAAGACUGGGAACAAUUGAAGAAAACAACCACUGUGGGCACACAUCAUAAACUCCUUCAGGACAGAAAUCAUUUCUCCCAUUAAGUGCAUUGUUUAACGGGUCGAUAACUGUCUGCACACUUUGGGGUGUUUUGCAGAACCUUCUGUGUUUCACAUUUGCCUCUGUGUUGGCAAUGCCCGAGUGGCCUUACGGACCAAGAAAAGAAAACUCUGCACCACGUACUGUGGCUGAGGCAAGUGGACAAAACCAGCUACAUGAGGCUUGUGAUACAUGCCUUCCUGCUUGGGUAAUCUAAAGCUCGUGUUCUUCUGAACCAAACUUAGAUGCUAACCCUCUCAACCAAAGGCAGGGCCAAGGGAGAACGACACCAGCCAGACACCAGGGCAUCUGAUUUAAGGAGUUGCUAACCCUCAGAGAUCUCAGACUGGGUGAAUGAGAAUGUCUGCCGAGGGACAGGCUAGCAGGUGGGAUCAGUCUCCCUACAACCAACCGCUUCUGCAACGUCAAGAACAACCUGGGGGCUCAGAGGACCUGAAGACUGGCUGCACCCCGAUCAAAGUUGCACUGCUCCCAAGUAUUCUGGAAACAGAAGCCCUGGAGGACAUAUGGUGCCCGGGAUAAAAUGCAGACACUUAGCUGAGUUGGGAUAUUAACUUCAAAUAACCUUCUAGUAGAGAUGUGUCAUAAAUGCUAAAAAUCUGUUUUUAUAUGAAAUUUAAGCUUGGCUCAUUGUCUAUAUUUUUAUUUGCUAUAUUUCAUCUGAAGAGAGCUAAGAAAAGCCAACAGAGGCAGAAGAGAUACAGAACUAUAAAGGAAGGGGUGCGAGGGAAGUCAUAGAGAGAUCUGGGUUGCAAUGUUGCAGAAUAAAAAGGAAUUAAUAGAGCAUUCUGGGAAAGUCCAAACUCAGGCUCUCAAUCCAAAGUGCAUGUCAGAACCUCAGUGGUAGCUCCACUUCCAACAAAUUAAAACAAUAAAAAAUACACCUUUGAGCUAAUUACAUCUUUGUAAUUAAUACAUAUUUAUUCGGUGUUAUUUUUUAUAUAUGUACUAUGUGAAGAGAGCUAGAUGACUCUCUGAAGACAUUUCAUGGCCUCCCAUUGUUUCCGACUUUUUCAUUAUCUGAGAAAUCCCAGC